rnacentral:pre_miRNA from 4 species
UCUUAUGGAUGAGCAAAGAAAGUGGUUUCUUAAGAUGGAAAUUACUCCUGAUAAAGAUGCUUUGAA